rfam:Vigna angularis cultivar Jingnong 6 chromosome 10, whole genome shotgun sequence.
GGAGAGAUGGCCAAGCGGUUCAAGGCAUAGCAUUGGAACCACUAUGUAGGCCUUUUGUUUACCAAGGGUUCAAAUCCCUCUCUUUCCA